rnacentral:tRNA from 1 species
UCCCCCGUGGUGUAAUUGGCAACACAAUACACUUUGGAUGUAUUUUUCCAGGUUCGAGUCCUGGCGGGGGAG